GUGGGGAAUAUUGGACAAUGGGGGGAACCCUGAUCCAGCCAUGCCGCGUGUGUGAAGAAGGCCUUUUGGUUGUAAAGCACUUUAAGCGAGGAGGAGGCUACCGAGAUUAAUACUCUUGGAUAGUGGACGUUACUCGCAGAAUAAGCACCGGCUAACUCUGUGCCAGCAGCCGCGGUAAUACAGAGGGUGCAAGCGUUAAUCGGAUUUACUGGGCGUAAAGCGCGCGUAGGUGGCCAAUUAAGUCAAAUGUGAAAUCCCCGAGCUUAACUUGGGAAUUGCAUUCGAUACUGGUUGGCUAGAGUAUGGGAGAGGAUGGUAGAAUUCCAGGUGUAGCGGUGAAAUGCGUAGAGAUCUGGAGGAAUACCGAUGGCGAAGGCAGCCAUCUGGCCUAAUACUGACACUGAGGUGCGAAAGCAUGGGGAGCAAACAGGAUUAGAUACCCGGGUAGUCC
rnacentral:rRNA from 1 species